rnacentral:misc_RNA from 1 species
GGAUUGGGUAAGGCUGGUGGUUCUGUUUGUGCUUAAUGGUGUAUAUUCACGUUUGUGUAACGUCUUGUUUUAUUCUCAAGUUUCUUUGGAAUGGUCCCACCAGAAAAAGAACACAAACACUGAACGUUGUGAUAUGUGAAGAGUUAUUAUGUCAUUCUAUAGGAAAUGCUACGUGGUACGGGUUAAAACCCAGAAGGUUGAGUAAUCGAGAUUUCGAAACAAGCGUUGUUCUGCAUACAAGAACGACAGCUUGAGAUAUUUCUGGACGAAAUCUUUUAGAUGUUUUUCGCAAGAACUGAAUUUUGGUGACAGCUUUUUGUAAGGCUGGUGAACACAUCCAAAAUAUUUUAAAAUGACAAAAAAGUUACGUAAGUUCCUCAUUCUGCUAGAUAACGAAAGUUUAUUGUAUUUUCCGGGUUCCUUCCUCUCAGGCCGAGUGUUGGUCGAGCUGGACGACCACACUCAAGUAUCAGGACUUUUUUUUCACAUCUUGGGAGAAGGAGUUGUGCAAUUGUCCAAGAGAGGGCGUUCGGACUUUAGCGAUAAAGAAAAUUACAUAGAUUUUCGUAUGAGACUUUUGGGAGAAGGACAACCCAAAUCAGGUAACAAUCGUGAGAUUGUUUUGCCGCCAGGUGUUCAGUCCUUUCCAUUUAAACUAGGACUUCCAUUAGGAUUACCUUCAACGUUUUUAGGAAAACAUGGCUGGGUGCAGUACUAUUGUAAAGUGGCACUUAAAGAAUCUUCUGGCGUUGUUCACAAAAACCAACAAGUGUUCAUCGUCAUGAACCCCAUAGAUUUGAACUUGGAGCCUUCUCUUCUCAUGCAACCUUUCCACUGUGAAAUUGAAGACACUCUCGGACUCAGCUGUUUCUCGUCCGGUCCUGUCACGUGUAGGGUUCGUUUAGACAGGGGAGGCUACGUACCGGGAGAAAGUAUCUCAAUCUUCGCCAACAUAGAAAACAACAGUAAAGUUACAAUAAGGAAGACAAAAGCAGUACUCACUGAGACGAUACAGUACACUGCAAAAAACAAGUUAGUUCAGGCUGAGACUAGAGAACUGGCUUCUCUUCAGAAGGGAGAGAUUUCUGCUGAUUCUACGGAUCAGUGGAAAAAUGAGCUACUUUAUAUUCCACCUCUUCCACCCACAAACCUGCGUGGUUGUCACCUAAUUCGUGUCCAGUAUGAUGUUUAUUUUUUGAUCUACCCCAAAGGACCAGAGAAAGAAAUUAAACUUCAAUUACCAAUCAUGAUGGCUACCUACCCGAUUAGGAACACAGAUGGCACUCUUCAACGGAAAAAAGGAACCCAUUAUCCAACAGUAUUACCAGUGUUCCGGCCUUGGCUUAGCACGAACACUUUGAAGUAGACAGCUAAGCUAACAGAUGCCGAAGAUAUGAUUCAAGAAAAUGUUUUCUUACAGUAGUGUGGUGCGCCCACGGCACUGAAAGUUGACGUAUACAAUUUUCCCCGUCUAAUGAAAACCUGUUUCCAUGUCAACAUUUUGCUAGAAAACCCAAUGAGUGUAGAGAAUGAUCGAUGAAGAGUCGAUUAGAUGACCAAAUUUGUUAAAAUGAUGUCAGGAAAAACAAAUACUAUCUGGGCGAAGGUGGAGCAAUUAUGAUUAAUUUCCCAAUAUAUAUUGCCUAAUUCUGCUAGUAUCAUCGUUUAAAAGCAAGGAACAAACUUUUUUGCACUUCUCUUUGCAUUAUUGCUCUUUGGAUUAUUUAAACUAUUUCUAUUUCACGGAUGUUUUUGAUACCUGUGUGUAUAACUUUCUAAUUGUUUUGUUGUUCAAAUUGAAGUGGAUGAAACAUAAUGAUUUUGUUGAAACGUCCUUAGUUUUUAACACAUUCCUUUUCGUCGGUGUUGUAAUAAUAAUUGUUUCAAGAGCAAAUACAAAACGGUUCCUGGCAUUGAAGUUGUAGAAAUUAUGUUUAUGCGAUAUGAUUCUAAAAAAAAUUAAUAAAACAGGUUAGAAGAAAUUAUGAUUUCAUAUAUAAUGGAGCUCUAUUUCACUGUAUGACGUCCCCAGCGGUACGUCUGACAGUUUAUAACGCUAAAAACUGGGUUUCGAAACCUGUGGUGGGAACAGCACAGAUAGCCCAUUGUGUAUUCAACGACAAUGGCACUGCAGUCGAUACACCAAAGGAGGUUUCUAUACAGAGUCGGGACAUUGUCAUCAUAAUGACAUAAAGUUGGUCUCGUCAGUCUAAAGUUCAAAAAUAGUCAGAGGACUAAAGCACGUAAGCAAUAAAAAACCCGGAAAACCGUAAACAUUCGAUAAACAUGAGCGUUUUUUACAGUGAUUUAUGUUUACCAUGUGUUAUGUUCACAGAAUGGUAAGCAAAUGCUCUUAUUAGUUUUAUUUUUCAUCAUAAUAUCAAGAUUUUUCCCCCCUUAGAAUAAGACUGAUAAACAGAUAACUAAUCACUUCAAAACGCGUGUAGUUUGAGUGUGUUCUGGUCGCUUAUUUUUCAAAACUAAUUUCUUCUGUACUAAUGCAUUAGAUUUGAGCGCUCGUAAUUGGCUAAGCCUAAUUAAUCCAUUGACUGGUCAAUAUAUAAUUAUUCAGAUGUAAAAUGUAUCAAAUUCUAUUUAUAAAACUAAUUUCCACGUAUACAAAUCGGCCUGACGAACCUUGGUAUUGGACGAAAACCCCCGAUGGC